rnacentral:rRNA from 1 species
CCCUUAGAUGUUCUGGGCUGCACGCGCGCUACACUGAUGCAUUCAACGAGUUUUACCUUGGCCGAGAGGCCUGGGCAAUCUUUUAAACCUGCAUCGUGAUAGGGAUAGAUUAUUGCAAUUAUUAAUCUUGAACGAGGAAUUCCUAGUAAACGCAAAUCAUCAAUUUGCAUUGAUUACGUCCCUGCCCUUUGUACACACCGCCCGUCGCACCUACCGAUUGAAUGGUCCGGUGAAGCCUCGGGAUUGUGGCCAGUUCACUUUAUUGGGAGUUGGCUGUGAGAACUUGUCUAAACCUUAUCAUUUAGAGGAAGGUGAAGUCGUAACA